GAUGAGAACGUAGUGAAAUGCGAUAAGUAAUGUGAAUUGCAGAAUUCAGUGAAUCAUCGAAUCUUUGAACGCACAUUGCGCCCGCCAGUAUUCUGGCGGGCAUGCCUGUCUGAGCGUCAUUUCAACCCUCAUGCCCCUAGGGCGUGGUGUUGGGGAUCGGCCAAAGCCCGCGAGGGACGGCCGGCCCCUAAAUCUAGUGGCGGACCCGUCGUGGCCUCCUCUGCGAAGUAGUGAUAUUCCGCAUCGGAGAGCGAUGAGCCCCUGCCGUUAAACCCCCAACUUUCCAAGGUUGACCUCAGAUCAGGUAGGAAUACCCGCUGAACUUAAGCAUAUCAAUAAGCGGAGGA
rnacentral:misc_RNA from 1 species